AUGAGCGAGCCUUUAUGGCGAGCACUAAUAUCCAUAACACUGUGAACUGUUGGCCUUUGGGUCAUAUUUUACAAACUCUUGUGUAAUGAACGUAUAAAACUAUAAUCAAUA
rnacentral:misc_RNA from 1 species